ACGAGGUGACUCGCUGUCGGAAGCCAGGAGGUGCGUGAAGACCACUGGCCGGUCUUCACAGCGCAGGAAGUUACGUUCUCUGCCGCAAAGCGAGAGGAAGGGAAAGGAAGCCUCGUAGCGCCCGCUGUGGUUGGGUCUCAGGCGGGAGAAGAAAGUGACCAGGAACUGCAGGCAUACCAGCACUGGCAUGAGACAGCGGAACCCCCCCUUGUGGAUGGGGGCUUCCCUCAGAGUCGGGGAGCCAAGGCCUUGAAGGGUAGAGACGUGAGGGAGCAGCGCAGUAAGCAAUACCUUUGAAGCAGGUGAUAAAGUUCUUCAUUUUGGAGUCAUCUAGGAAAAGCUGCAGACAGAAGUGACACAGUGGACAGUCCGAGCUCUCUGCGACCUCGCCAAGACUAGAGCCAAGUUACGCACUGCCCCGCAAGGCGGCCACAUCCUCCCACACCGGAAACAGAUCAGACAGUGCAGUGCCUGGAGCUUUGGGUUCCACCGGCAGCCGUGCUCGGUGGGGGCGGAGCUGUUUGUCCCGCCCCCGGAAGUAGUUAUGCGAUGUAGAUUUCCCCCCCUUCCUCCCCCAUGUCAGAAGUAACCUGAAGCACAGGAAGCGAGUGUGCACUUGAACUUUAUUCACA